UUAAGGGUUGGUAGUGGGAGUAAAAGGCUCUUACUUGGAGAUCCCUACCUACCUGAGGUUUUCGAAGGUAUGGGGUGCAGUUGCCCAUGUUCUGGGACUGCAAACAGCCCUGCAGAUGUCAUGGUCAGUGAAGAAGUUGGAAGAAUGGAGAUGAUCCUGGCACUGGAGCAGUUUCCUCUGCAGCCAGUGGAUGGCACAACGAUGGAGUGGUUUGUCCUGGAAGACUGCAGCUUGUGGAGAAUUACUCUGAAUCAGGGGAGGAAACUUGAGGGGAGAGAAGUGGUAAAGAUGUGGACUGACUAUGAUUGUCAUUCCCUCGCAUCACAGCAGGGCAGGCAGCGGAGUCAGGAAUGUAGGAGUGAAACUGAGCUUAGAAAAGGGAGGAGAGCUGGCUAAACAGUGUUAACUAUUAUAUCUGUUUUUCAAUAUGAAUAUUUGUUUUACAUUGGUGACUCUGCAUUGCUUUCUAUUUAUUUCCAUGGAUACUACAACAGAUACAAAGAGAACAAUGCUACUACUAGGUAGAGCAAAUUCUCAACUACGAAAAGCUAUUUUUCAACAGUCACCAUCAAUAGCUAGUGCUUUUGCUAGAGAAGAACAAGAGCCUGCGUGUCAUGCUGCAAUGAUGGUGUCAUUAUUGAGAAAAUGCUGCCCAUUCUGUUCAUCUUUCAUUAGCCCAAACAGAUGAAAAUCAGUGUCAAAUUUAAACUGUAUGGUGGGUACAGUAGGACAGAUCGCCAAGACUGGUGAUGUGCUCCAUGGUCUUCAAUCCAGCAUGGGACCUUGUAUUAUCGUGUUUCAAGAGAAAGGUUGUCGUCUUCUCCAGCCUAACUCUGGAAGUUUGAGGCUUCAGCUUAGUCAGCAUCGCAAUACAGUGGUCAGAGUUGAUGUUGUCCAGGUUCCAGGAAAUCCAGAAGGAUCACAUCCCUAACCCAAAAGAUCACGCACGUCACUUUACCCAUUUUGGGAUGCAUCUUGAACUUUUUCUUUGAUGGGGAAACUCAAACAUUAUUACUCCAUAGGCUGCUGUUUUAACUCCAGCUCAGAGUAGUGACACAUCUUGUCAUCAGUAAUGAUCCAGGAAACGGUAGCACCUUCAACCUCAUACUGGUUCAGUAGGUUCUGACAACUUUGUGUGCCACUCUUUCUGUUUCUCUGCAAGUCUUCAUGGGACCCAUCUGUUACAAACUUUUUGCUAUUCCACUGUUGUCACUAUUAUUUCCAAGUCUUUGAAGCCCAUAUUCAGAUCUCUACAUAGCUCUCAGGUUGUCAUCUGACAAUAUGUGCAGAUAAGCUGAUUGAGAUGUUCUUCAUUUUUGUGGUGGGACAGCCAAAAGGUAUAACUCAGUUACAAAAAUGAAGGAAAUAGUUAAUAGUUGCCUAUCAACUAAAAGAUUCAUUAGUGAAAUACCGAAAUAUAAUCAUGAAGUUUAAAAUUCUGAUCUGAGGAAAAAAAAACUACAGGACAGUAUCAUUAUUGCACAGUCAUCAUUGUGACUGUGAAAUUAUUUUAAACAAAGUUUAAGGUAUAAUUCGCUUCUUGUACAUGUCUAUAUGUUUAUCAGAUUUCUAAGAUAAAUGCUUAUAAUGCUGUCAUUCUGAAAUAAUUACAUGUUGUUCAAAUCCCUAAUAUCCUACUAUAACAGAAAGAAAUGUAUUAAAGGAUUUUUGUGGUAAAUUCUCAAUAUCUGUAAUGGAGCAAGUCCUGCUUUGGCAGCUUGAUUAUUGAAGAACUUUGUACGUUUCCAGACAUUUGGAAUAUAAAAGCAUAUCCUCCUGAGAGCUAAUGAGAUAGUCAAAUAUACUUUAACAUGUCUUGGAUUCUUAAAGAUGCUUCAUGACAUUAGUGGUAUGUCUGUAUAUUUAUUUGCAACCAAUUAGCUGAUCAUUACUCUGAGCCAUCUAAAAAUACUUGCAGGAAGAAUAUAGUAGUAGUUCAGGUCAAACACUUCAGAGUUGUUCUCUCAUCUCAUCCUUUGGAAAAGGAGCAUUUCUGUUGUAAUUAAUUUUAACAGUUUGGACAAUCAGUUCUGGAGUCACUGUUACUUGUCUUAGCCUCACUAGCUAUCUUGUAGCUAGAUGACAUUAGCUCUCUCACUAUACUGUAAUUUAGCUCCAAGUUUUUUUUCUCACGUUCUGAGUCUGGGCUAUUUUCUUUUGUAGUUUAUUUCUUUUGAAACUGUUCAGAAUAAAAUUUCUUUUUAAGAGCACAGAACUGAUUUACCGCAUUUCCAUCAAUAUGUCAACGCUGUGUUUUACUGUAGUUAUGGGAAUAUUAAAUGAACAAAGGUUGUUGUCAGCAGAAUUCAUUUCUCAAAAUCAAGAUCUAAUUCACAGCAUGUUUUUACAGCAACAUCAUCUUUUAUAAUGUCAGACUUUAAAUGAAUGUACUUUUAGAGUAUUCGGAGUCUAUUGGUUGUCAAAUAUAAUAACACUUUUGAAACUACAGAAACAACUUUUCAAUGUAUGUCAAGAUAGAUCCUUCAGUCAAUUUAAAGGAGUUCACACAUGGGACUCAGUUCUCUAGUAAUCAGUGCAACAACCGUGUGUUCUAUGGGAGAUAUGAGAUACACUCUGAGUUUCUCUAAAUGUCAAUCAUAUUGCAAGACAAUGGUUAGUACACUUUUUUUUAUUGGAAAGACUAGUGGAAUCAGGGCAUCAACCUGGAUAUAAAAUCUAAAAUAUGCACAGGUACAAGGAUUAAACAUUAUCUAGCUAUAACUUUAAAGGUCCAUAUGAACUUAUGAUAUUGUACCAUGACAAAACUGAAAGCAGCUAGAAAGCAAGAAGAGAGGAAAGGAGACAAGGAUAAAAGACAGUGGGGGGGGAAAAACAUCAGGAUACUGGACUAAAAGUAGGAAGGACAUUAAGAAUAACAGUAGUUUCUAGGAGAAGAGAAUAUCUUCAAUUUAAGAAAAUAAGAGGACAAAGUAUGUUUAAGUAUGUUUAAAGUACGACAAAGCUGAUUAAAAUAAAACAGAUGAGGAGAUAAACAGUUGUAAAACUAGUUUUUGUUAGUUCCAUUCCUCUAAUAAUCUGCUGAAAUAGAAUAAUAAAUUUAUUAGGGCCAAGCUAUGGUUCCCCACAUUACAGGUACAAUUUUCAACUUUGUAUUUGUUUUUCUAAUAAAAUGUAUUAACUCCCCCACUUAUAAAAGGGAAAUUAAGCUAUACAAGAAAUACACUUAUUCAAAAAUAUUUAAUGAACAAUGGUUGUAUGAGUAAUAGAAAUUAAAAAUGAAAUGCUAAAUUUUUUCGUUUCAAAACUUCUUCCAAGUUUUUCCAAGAUUUCACAUUGCAAUUUCCUGGAUCUCAAUUUGUGAGAAGUUAGACAUCUCUGCCAUAAGAAACAUCUUCACUUACAGGUACAGCAGCAGAAAAACAGUAGACCCUAGCCAGAAAAAUGGUCAGUUACUAAACUUUUUUGUUUCUGUCACAAAUGAAUGGUUGAGAACUAUAACUUUUCUUCCUCUGAUCUAAAUAAUAUUAAUAUCUUGGGUAAUCUGUGGCAUGUCCUAAAUCUGUGGAACACUACAGAAGAUUUUUGUGUAAAUAUAUAUAUACACAUAUAUUAGAGAAGGAGUAAGAAUGAGCUACUAUAAUUGUGAAUUGAGAGGAAACAUGAAUUUGUGAUGCAGUUAAUGAACAAUGGCUUCUUCUGAGCUAUCAUUCAAUGUUUGUCAUAUAUGAUUCAUUCUUGUAAUAGAAAGCCUAAUUUUCCCAAUGAGACUUGACAGUUUUCUUGAACUAGUUUCGAAGGUGAUAUAUCUGCUGUGAGUUUAGACUGAUGUUUCUCUGGCAGUGUUAUGUAUGACAUUUUCUGUUGAUCUGAGAAGGGAAGAUAGAAACAAGACCACAACUUUAUGAAAAGCCCAUAGAUUUUUUUUUAUUAUUAUUUUAUUUUUUGCAGAAAAUGAAAGAAAUUUCAGCCUGACCUUUGAUGGGGGGAAAAAAGACACCACUUCAGAGCAUCUCGCCAAACAAACAAACUGACACUUCUGUAAUAACACUUUGCAGCUUGAACAUUUGCUUGAUGUUUAAAUUGAUCAUGUGGCAACAAAAUGUCAGGAUGCUAUUCAUAAGCAUACAGAUUAUUCUGUACAAAAAUUUUAUUAGGAAUAUUUAGGAAUGCAAAGAAAGAUUCAGGAAGGGGUAGAUGCUUAUUGUGCUUGCAUAUCAGAAAGCUAUUGAACUGUUGCACAUAUAGAUACCUGACAUGUAUAAAGCAAUGGGAUGUGAGUGGUUCACAGAAAAAAAAAGCAAGUAGAAUGAUGUUGUCAUUAAAGCAAUAAUUAUGAGGAAAGAAUUUAUUUUACUGUUUGAUAAUUCUAAUCAUAAUAUGCUUUGUUUCUCACUAAAGAUAAAAAGAAAGUACAGAAUGCAAUGCAAGAAAUAUAGGAUUCAGAUGAAGAAAAAAUAAGUUCAGUGACAUUUUUACAGGUAUAUUUCUGUGCUUAACCUUUUUUGCCAUCAAUCUACCAUUUCCAUUACUGCACAUCUUGCUAAGCCUAUGUCAAAACAUAUUAUAGAUCUUGUUUGAAUGAGAUCUUGUAAAUUCCUUUCCUUAUGAACAGAAGUUAUUGCAAAUCUAUAAUGUGUAUGUUAAUAUAGAAAUUAAUGGCUAGAAACAGUAUUUAUAUUGGAAAAAAAUAAGUUCUAUGCAGUUACAUUCCUAUCACUGAACCAGUCCCAUUGUAUAUUUUCUUAUAUAUGGAAUGUACCUCAAAAAAGCAGUGCAUGGCUUCCACUAAAAUGAGAGCCAAACUGGACAUUAUCACUCAUCAAGAAACAAAGAAUGAACUGAGAACAAGACAAGACUAUAUAACGUUCAGCUUGCCUGUGCAUGACCAGUGAGAUCAAAAAGAAGCUUACCUCAAUGAAUACAUUAGCUGCUAAGUCUUUGCCUAGAUAGUUUUAUAUAGAAACUCACGUUGGCAUACAGCCAUAUUUCUCUUUUGAAGUAAGGCAUUCAGCAUGAAAGCAACAUUUUAAAUCAAACUCUGACAAGUAGGAGAAAUUUUAGACAAGCAAUAAAAAUCAUUAAAGCUCAGAAAAUAAGUGAGGCUAACAGAACAAAACUAUUCUGAGGGAAAAAAAAAAUGGAUGGAAUAAGACAGGACCGUCUACAAAUACAUAAAGUGAUAUUAAAAAAUGGGCUAGGAUCAAUUAUUUCCCUAGUCAACACCAAAAGGAAAGGAGGAAAAAAAAAAAAAGGAACAGAA